rnacentral:rRNA from 1 species
GACGAACGCUGGCGGCGUGCUUAACACAUGCAAGUCGAGCGGAAAGGCCUUUCGGGGUACUCGAGCGGCGAACGGGUGAGUAACACGUGAGUAAUCUGCCCUUCACUCUGGGAUAGCCACCGGAAACGGUGAUUAAUACCGGAUAUGACCACUCCCGGCAUCGGGUGGUGGUGGAAACUUUUUUGGGUGGGGGAUGUGCUCGCGGCCUAUCAGCUUGUUGGUGGGGUAAUGGCCUACCAAGGCUUCGACGGGUAGCCGGCCGGAGAGGGUGACCGGCCAAACUGGGAGUGAGUCACUGCCCAGACUCCUACGGGAUGCAGCAGUGGGGAAUAUUGUACAAUGGGCGGAAGCCUGAUUCAGCAACGCCGCGUGAGGGAUGACGGCCUUCGGGUUGUAAACCUCUUUCAGCACCGACGAAGCGCAAGUGACGGUAGGUACAGAAGAAGCACCGGCCAACUACGUGCCAGCCGCCGCAGUAACAC